UACAUGUGGGGCAAGCGUUGUUCGGAAUUACUGGGCAUAAAGGGUGCGUAGGUGGCUUGUUAAGUCAGGGGUGAAAGUUUUCGGCCCAACCGGAAAAUGGCCUUUGAUACUGGCGAGCUCGAGUGCGUGAGGGGUAACCGGAACGAGCAGUGUAGCGGUGAAAUGCGUAGAUAUCAGGAGGAACACCUAUAGCGAAGGCAGCUCGCUGGGACGACACUGACGCUGAGACGCGAAGCGUGGGGAGCGAACAGG
rnacentral:rRNA from 1 species